GCCGGGAGGGGCGGGGCGGCGCGAGGCGUUCCCGCCGCGUGCGCCUUUCUCACACGGCGGCGGCUCUGAGCGAGGGUUCUCGUUUUGCUGUGCCCGUCUCGCUCCGGCCUCGUAAAACAAUUCGGUAAAACCGUCGUGGAGAGGAGCCUGUCUGCUCGCGCUGCGGUCAUGGCUGCUAGCCAGGCUCCAGCAGCCGCCCUCUGCCCAGGGAGCACACCCAGAGCAGUGUGCAGGCAGCCAGGUGGUGUGACCUAACCAGCGGACUGUGCCAUGCUGUCAUGAGGAAGAGUCACAUCAAACCAUCUGCAAGUCACCUCCCUAGUUUUUCUGGCCUAUCCACAGCAGAGCCUGGGAAGAAUGUCUGCCUGUGGUUCUCAGAAAUAUCUGUCAGUUCCCAGAGCUAAGUUCCUGGUGAAGAUGGGGCAGGCAUCUUCCAAAGGAAUUUGCCUUUUACAGUGCACUGGAGCUAGGAUUCAGGCUUUUAUUCUUAGAUUAUGUCGUAACUCCCAGCACAGGAGAGUGUGAGCUUUCAUCAGCACAGAUUGCCACAAACCAAAGGACUAAAUCCACAGUCAGGGAGCUGUGCUGGGGAGCUAGCUUUGUGUCCUUAGCCCUGCACUUGGUUUGCAGUGAAUACAAACACGAGUAUUUACACGUGAAGUUGGAAGUAGACUCCUUCAACGCUAAAACCAUAGGUGGCUUGGGUAAACUUCAGCAACUAUUCCUGUAAAUGGGAAUAGUGUAAAGGAUAAAUUUGCCAGGAUCUAUUUAAAAGCCGUUCUGUUGGGAUUUUCUUAUUUUUUUUCUUGAUUUUUUUUCUUUCCUCUCAAAGAGCGGACAUAGUUUUUUGCUGUUUCGAGCCAUGCGCACUGAAGCAGUAUCUCAAGUGUGAGACAAAGACUGUUUUUAAAAUGGUUUGGUUGUACUGUCUACUUGGUGAUAUUUUUUUAAAAUACAUUUACCAAAGAUUUAUGUAAAAUCUAUCUUUUGUCUACUUAAAAUACGUCAAAUGGAUGUACAGGGCAAAAUUUAAUGCAUAUGGGUUUUCAUUAUUUUAAAUCAUUUGCAAUAUAAAUGAUUUACUGUGACAUCAGACAUUUGUUCUUUGGCUGUCCACCAUAAAUUGAAGCCCACCCAAAUUUCCACUUUUAUAUUUCUGCAUUCCCUCCCCCAGUAUCUCUAACCUUAGCGCCGCGAUUCUUCAUGUAAAUGACUUUCAACAAGGAAAGGAAGAGAACACAUAAUUGGCCUUAAUACAGGUAAUACUGAAAGAAAAGGGAGACCUUUACAUGAGAAAUAGUUGACAGCCAUGGAAAGGGGGGAACUAAUGCAUGGAGGAGAGGAAGUCGUUCCUGAUGAGGGCGGUGAGAGCUGCUGGCCAACCAGAUGUGGCCAAAUGGAAUUCUUGUGCAGCUGAAACUGCCGGAGGUGACAGACUCCUAUCUUUUGCUUUCUGAAUGUUUUCAUGUCUUUCUAGUGUCCUUCCAUUUAGAAUGCAGUUAAUCAAACACUGACCCGUUCAUGUUACACACGACCGUUUGGAAAACUGAGGUAAGCCAGUUUGUCCAAGGUCAUUCUUGAUGUCCGUAGUGAAAAAGUGGUGACACCUGACUCCCAGAAUGACGCUCUCCUGACAAAGCUUCUCCUAAAACAUGGAAUAAUCUUGGGACACUCAGACCUUUUGACAGACCUUGCAGGGAACAGCAUUCAUUAUUGUAUUUUCUGGUUCUGUCAUGACAGUUAAUACGACACGGACCUUCAGACCCAGCAUCACCUGUAUCUGAAGCCUUCCUGGCUCUGUAGUUACUGAAAAUUGCUGCUACCUGAUACCAAGCUGCUCGGUGGCCAGUACUACAGGAUUAAACACCUCAACUCAGCCCAGUUUCUCAUCUGUGCAUGUCAUCUCAAAACCUACUAGUCAGCAGACUCCAUUGGGAUCCUUAUUUCUACUUACUAAAUUGGAAGACAGUCCUGUUUGAACCAAACGUUGUAUUUUUGCAAGCUUCCCCCCACCCAUACCACUUUGAUAUGACUCCCUCCCUUCUUGCUGUCAAAAGAUUUUGCUAUUAUUGCCCACGCAGGUAGUUCUAAUGAAGCAUCUCAAAUGUGAUUUGUAGCCAUUCUGAGUGACAUUAUAAACUUCAGCCCCAUCCGGAAGGGAAUCUGAAUUCUGAUAUCCAGCCUGUCUGCCCAAUCCUGCAUUUACAGGUGUGUCUGACGGUUGCCAUUUAGAUGGUUGAUGUCUUUCCCACCAUGCUAGUCCUAAGGCACCAGCACUGCCAACAGUCUUCAUCCUGCAGUCAGAGCAGGGUUAGAUCAUGUGGUGGGCCUGCAUGUGCUCGUCUUCAUUCCAGCCUCCAGUGGCUUUACUACUGCAAGAUCCAAUUGAGAAAAAUGUUAGCGUAGUUCUGAUUUAUGUACAAAAGUGCAGAGGAGAGCAGAAGCUUUUAGUAUCUUGGGAAGUGGUUAGAAAUUAAGGCCAAAGAAAGGACAGUCAUGUCCAUUACAUCCUUAAAAAAAAAAAAAACAAAACCAACAAAUCUUUAGUGAAAGUCCUGGCUGCUGAACUGCUUCUGGGCUGGCAGAUGUUCACAGUUCCCUUGGCAGAUACUGUGGAAAGCUAAUGGGCCCAUUUAGAGACCGUCCCUUACACAACAGCAUUCAGACAGUUGUGCAGUUGCGAGGGAGGCCUUGUAGGGCAGGGUCCUUUCAAGCUGGUUGUCCUGAAAUGAAAUUAGGGAAUUCAUUAAAUAUUUUAAGAGCUCUGAUAAUCUCUUGUCAACAAUCUCUGCCGAACCCAGGACUUCACUCGAGAUGCGGAUGAGGGAAGGAACUGAAUGCGAAGUGCAAGGCUGACACCUGGAGGGCACUGCUGAGCUGCAGCAAGGCAAGCCUGGAGGAGCUAGGGAUGCUGCAGCGCAGCCUGGGUUAGGAAAGCUCAGAGGUGGUGGUUUUGGAUCUGCUCUUUUCUAGUGAAGGAGCUCUUCAGGUAUUCUUCCCUCUCCCCUCUCCUAACAACAACAACAAAAAAUCCAUAUUUCUAUUUCAGCUUUUCCAUAUCUAUUUUUUUAAGGAGUGGAUAAGAGCAAAGGAUUAAACUGGAUUAUCUAGUUUUUCACUUCUUCCACAUUCAAGAAAACUUUAAUGAAAACUUUCUGGCUCAUUAAGCCACUACAAGCAAUUCUGGGUCUGUUUUUUGGUUGUUUAGCGUAACUUAUUUGAUUGCUGCACGUCAGACUUCCUACUGCUGCUUUGCCAUUCGUGUAAUGGUGCAGUGAGUUUCUGGACUAGAGACUUGCAGGGCAAUUCCUACUGUCAGAGCUGCAGCUGGCAAGUUGGCAUCGUGUGGGGCUUGGUCUUUCCAUGCCUGGCUCUGCCAGUACCCAUGGUGAGGCUUUUCUUGAAGCUGAUCCUAAUCAAGGAAUGCGAGGCAGCUUCUGGGACAAAGUCUUCAUGCUUUUGGAGGUUGGCUCCCAGCCUGGCAAUCACCCAUCUGCAGUGCUUACUCAAACCUUUUCAGUAAUCUCUCUUCUCUGCCAGGAAUUAUCUUAUUGUUUCUGAAAGCUGUUUUUGCUUGAUCUAAUUUUAGAAUAUGUUAAUAAAUGAGUUGUUUACUGUGC